AUUGAACUCUGGCGGCAGGCCUAACACAUGCAAGUCGAGCGAGCGGCGCACGUGUGAGUAAUGUAUGGGAAUCUGCCCGCUAGAGGGGGAUAACUCCUGGAAACGGUGGCUAAUACCGCAUACUAUCGGAUGUACCCAUAUGGGCUUAGCUAGUAGGUGGGGUAAAGGCUCACCUCGGCGACGAUCUCUAGCUGGUCUGAGAGGAUGAUCAGCCACACUGGGAAUGAGACACGGCCCAGACGCCUACGGGAGGCAGCAGUGGGGAAUAUUGCACAAUGGGCGCAAGCCUGAUGCAGCCAGGCCGCGUGUAUGAAGAAGGCCUUAGGGUUGUAAAGUACUUUCAGCGGGGAGGCGUUACCCGCAGAAGAAGCACCGGCUAACGCCGUGCCAGCAGCCGCGGUAAUUC
rnacentral:rRNA from 1 species